UAUUCUACUGUGUUUAUUCAAUAAAACACCAUUCAUGCGCGUCACUAUUAGACCGACGGAAGCCGGCGCUCUUCGGAGUGUCGUGCAAAUUCCGAAUGUAGCCAAAGGCCCCGUCAUCUAAUUAGUGACGCGUAUGAAUGGAUCAACAAGAUUCCUUCUGUGACUAUCUACUAUCUAGCGUAACCACAGCCAAGGGAACGGGCUUGGCAAAAUCAGCGGGGAAAGAAGACCCUGUUGAGCUUGACUCUAGUCUGACUCUGUGAA
rnacentral:ncRNA from 1 species